rnacentral:rRNA from 2 species
UAAAACGACUUUCGGCAACGGAUAUCUCGGCUCUCGCAUCGAUGAAGAACGUAGCGAAAUGCGAUACUUGGUGUGAAUUGCAGAAUCCCGUGAACCAUCGAGUCUUUGAACGCAAGUUGCGCCCGAAGCCUUCUGGCCGAGGGCACGUCUGCCUGGGCGUCACGC